rnacentral:rRNA from 1 species
GAGUAGAGAUUUCGGUCGCUUUGGGAGGAGCUCGCUUACUAUCAGCUUGUUGGUAGGGUAAUGGCCUACCAAGGCUAUGACGGUUAGGGGGUGUGAGAGCAUGACCCCCAGCAUUGGCACUGAAACACUGGCCAAACACCUACGGGUGGCUGCAGUCGAGAAUCUUCCACAAUGGGGGAAACCCUGAUGGAGCGAUGCUGCGUGCGGGAUGAAGGCCUUCGGGUUGUAAACCGCUUUUGUAGGGGACGAAAUUUUUGACGGUACCCUUUCGAAUAAGAGGUUGCUAACUCUGUGCCAGCAGCAGCGGUAAUACAGAGACCUCAAGCGUUAUCCGGAUUUACUGGGCGUAAAGCGUCUGUAGGGGGUUUAUUAAGUUCCAAGUAAAAUUUCAAGGCUCAACUUUGAAUUCGCUUGGAAAACUAAUAAACUGGAGUCUAGCAGAGGUGCAUGGAACUUGUGGUGUAGGAGUGAAAUCCGUUGAUAUCACAAGGAACACCAAAGGCGAAGGCAUUGCACUGGGCUAGCACUGACCCUGAGAGACGAAAGCGUGGGGAGCAAAACGGAUUAGAUACCCGUGUAGUCCACGCCCUAAACGAUGAAUGCUAAAUGUUCGGGGAUUCGACCCCCUGGGUGUUACAGCUAACGCGUUAAGCAUUCCGCCUGGGAAGUACGGCCGCAAGGCUAAAACUCAAAGGAAUAGACGGGGAUCCGCACAAGCGGUGGAGCGUCUGGUUUAAUUCGACAGUAAGCGUGGUACCUCACCAGGGUUUGACAUCCCUUGACAGCCUUGGAAACAAGGUUUCCUUCGGGCAAGGUGACAGGUGCUGCAUGGUCGUCGUCAGUUCGUGCCGUGAGGUGUUCCGUUAAGUCGGGAAACGAACGAGACCCCUAUUGCAUGUUACAAUUUCUCAUGCAAGACUGCCCGGAUAUACUGGGAGGAAGGUGGGGAUGACGUCAGAUCUGCAUGGUCCUUAUACCCUGGGCGACACAGGCGCUACAAUGGCAGAGACAAAGGGUUGCAAAACCGCAAGGUGAAGCUAAUCCCAAAAACUUUGUCUAAGUUCGGAUUGAAGGCUGCAAUUCGCCUUCAUGAAGCUGGAAUCGCUAGUAAUCGUGAAUCAGCCACGUCACGGUGAAUAUGUUCCCGGAUCUUGUACUCACCGCCCGUCACACCAAGAGAGUUGGUAGCUCCCGANA